rnacentral:rRNA from 1 species
GUGAACCUGCGGAAGGAUCAUUGUUGAGAGAGCACAGAACGAUGGAUGUUUGUGAAUGUAUGAAUGUGUCCCUUUCCUCGCCCCCCACGUCGGCGGGCGGUUGACCGUAGCUCAGUGCGAUCAGCACUAAGGAACAAUGAACUCGGAAGCGGAGGGCCCCCUUGGCGUGCUCAGGGAGCCCAAUGCGUCGGAGAUUCUUCGGAAUCAAUCAAAUGACUCUCGGCAAUGGAUAUCUCGGCUCUUGCAUCGAUGAAGAACGUAGUGAAAUGCGAUACUUGGUGUGAAUUGCAGAAUCUCGUGAACCAUUGAGUCUUUGAACGCAAGUUGUGCCCGAGGCCUUCUGGCCGAGGGCACGCCUGCUUGGGAGUCAUGGCAUUGCCGCCUUUGCACCACCACCAUGUAAUGAAUGCUGGUGCCGAACGCGUAAAUUGGCCCCGUGUGCCCUCGGGCACAGUCGGUUGAAGAGCGGGCAGUCGCCAAUCGUCGGGCACGAUGGGUGUUGGUCGCGGUGAGCGGGAACAGAACAUCGUCCCCGUCGUAUUGGGAUGAGUGUCCCCAAGAGACCCUGUGUGAUUGUGGCGGCGUCCGGCGAAAAUGCCGCGCCGUCCAUCAACUUGUGGCCCCAAGUC